GUACUGCUGAGCAGUUCCAUAAUAGGACGAAACGACCGUCCAGUGC
rnacentral:hammerhead_ribozyme from 1 species